AUUGAACGCUGGCGGCAGGCCUAACACAUGCAAGUCGAGCGGAUGAAGGGAGCUUGCUCCUGGAUUCAGCGGCGGACGGGUGAGUAAUGCCUAGGAAUCUGCCUGGUAGUGGGGGAUAACGUCCGGAAACGGGCGCUAAUACCGCAUACGUCCUGAGGGAGAAAGUGGGGGAUCUUCGGACCUCACGCUAUCAGAUGAGCCUAGGUCGGAUUAGCUAGUUGGUGGGGUAAAGGCCUACCAAGGCGACGAACCGUAACUGGUCUGAGAGGAUGAUCAGUCACACUGGAACUGAGACACGGUCCAGACUCCUACGGGAGGCAGCAGUGGGGAAUAUUGGACGAUGGGCGAAAGCCUGAUCCAGCCAUGCCGCGUGUGUGAAGAAGGUCUUCGGAUUGUAAAGCACUUUAAGUUGGGAGGAAGGGAAGUAAGUUAAUACCUUGCUGUUUUGACGUUACCAACAGAAUAAGCACCGGCUAACUUCGUG
rnacentral:rRNA from 1 species